rnacentral:lncRNA from 1 species
UAAAAGCCCAGUAGAUGUGUCUGUCGGAUGCAGUUAGGCGGUCCUAAGGGAUGCAUUUUUGGGGGUGCCCUCCAAAAGCCUCCAUAGGGAAGAUGCUGAAGAAUGGAAUGUCCUUGCCUGGUUUAAGGUAAGUCGCUUGGGAGAAGUUCAUGGUCUUUGCUCUAUAACACAGGCAAAGUCAGCAGGGUGACUUUGUGCUACCCCACCACUGGGUUUGGAGUUAUUCCCCCACAGGAUGGAGAUGUGUUCAGCCUGCCAAGGGAGGGGAGGGUUAGAACUUCUUUUCUAAGCAAUGGAACCUUUAAAUAGAGAGCUUUCUCCCACCCCACCCGCCUCACCUCUCUCUCCUCUACCUCCCAGUCUCCUCUUGCACUCCUGCCACUCUCCCCAGCUGUAGGCUUUGAACAGCCUUCAUGGAUGGAGCUCCAGGGAAGAGAUGGGGAAUCUCUCGUGGGCUUGCAGGAACAACAGAGAAAUAGCGGGCAGAACAAGAAGGCUUGAUUUUAGAGGAUCUCAAGAUAAAGGGCAGGGGGCUCGGCUGUAGUGGAGCAGUGGGGAGGGCCGUCUGAUCAGACUGCCCGUCUCUCAGAGCAGCAGCUGACACGGCUCAGCCCGCAGGGAUGUCCAGAUCCAGACUUCUGGUUCUCCCUGGCUGCUCCAGUUUGUUUGCUUUGGCUUCAGGAUGUGUAUAAGAGUCACGUGGACACCAGCCAGCAUCCAGGGAGCAGUCAC